rnacentral:rRNA from 1 species
GAAGUCGGUAGUCUAACCGCAAGGAGGACGCCGCCGAAGGUAAAACUGGUGAUUGGGGUGAAGUCGUAACAAGGUAGCCGUAGGAGAACCUGCGGCUGGAUCACCUCCUUU